GUUAAGCGACUAAGCGUACACGGUGGAUGCCCUGGCAGUCAGAGGCGAUGAAGGACGUGCUAAUCUGCGAUAAGCGUCGGUAAGGUGAUAUGAACCGUUAUAACCGGCGAUUUCCGAAUGGGGAAACCCAGUGUGUUUCGACACACUAUCAUUAACUGAAUCCAUAGGUUAAUGAGGCGAACCGGGGGAACUGAAACAUCUAAGUACCCCGAGGAAAAGAAAUCAACCGAGAUUCCCCCAGUAGCGGCGAGCGAACGGGGAGCAGCCCAGAGCCUGAAUCAGUGUGUGUGUUAGUGGAAGCGUCUGGAAAGGCGCGCGAUACAGGGUGACAGCCCCGUACACAAAAAUGCACAUGCUGUGAGCUCGAUGAGUAGGGCGGGACACGUGGUAUCCUGUCUGAAUAUGGGGGGACCAUCCUCCAAGGCUAAAUACUCCUGACUGACCGAUAGUGAACCAGUACCGUGAGGGAAAGGCGAAAAGAACCCCGGCGAGGGGAGUGAAAAAGAACCUGAAACCGUGUACGUACAAGCAGUGGGAGCACGCUUAGGCGUGUGACUGCGUACCUUUUGUAUAAUGGGUCAGCGACUUAUAUUCUGUAGCAAGGUUAACCGAAUAGGGGAGCCGAAGGGAAACCGAGUCUUAACUGGGCGUUAAGUUGCAGGGUAUAGACCCGAAACCCGGUGAUCUAGCCAUGGGCAGGUUGAAGGUUGGGUAACACUAACUGGAGGACCGAACCGACUAAUGUUGAAAAAUUAGCGGAUGACUUGUGGCUGGGGGUGAAAGGCCAAUCAAACCGGGAGAUAGCUGGUUCUCCCCGAAAGCUAUUUAGGUAGCGCCUCGUGAAUUCAUCUCCGGGGGUAGAGCACUGUUUCGGCAAGGGGGUCAUCCCGACUUACCAACCCGAUGCAAAC
rnacentral:rRNA from 1 species